rnacentral:rRNA from 1 species
UACGUAGGAUGCAAGCGUUGUCCGGAAUUAUUGGGCGUAAAGAGCGCGCAGGCGGUCUAUCAAGUCAGAUGUGAAAUAUCCCGGCUUAACCGUGAGGGGUCAUUUGAAACUGGUAGACUAGAGUACAGCAGAGGAUAGUGGAAUUCCCGGUGUAGUGGUGAAAUGCGUAGAUAUCGGGAGGAACACCAGUGGCGAAGGCGACUAUCUGGGCUGAAACUGACGCUGAGGCGCGAAGGCUAGGGGAGCAAACAGG